AUAUCUGCUAGGAUGGCGAAUAGUAGGAACUGUACCGGAUUUCAGAGAGCUGUCGGAUGGUGAAAGACAGAGGAGGAAAGUUUUGAACUGGCGCCGGAGUUCUUUUUCUGAAAUUGCAGUAGGGAAAAGCGGGAAUUCCCGUUACAGAAUCAAUAAGUGUGCAGAACAGUGUUCUGUGAAGUAGAGUGGUACCACGGAAAUAAAGUCCUUUCGUCUCUAUU
rnacentral:ncRNA from 1 species